CAGUCGCCACGGUAAUACGUAGGGUGCAAGCGUUAAUCGGAAUUACUGGGCGUAAAGCGUGUGCAGGCGGUUAUAUAAGACAGAUGUGAAAUCCCCGGGCUCAACCUGGGAACUGCAUUUGUGACUGUAUAGCUAGAGUACGGCAGAGGGGGAUGGAAUUCCGCGUGUAGCAGUGAAAUGCGUAGAUAUGCGGAGGAACACCGAUGGCGAAGGCAAUCCCCUGGGCCUGUACUGACGCUCAUGCACGAAAGCGUGGGGAGCAAACAGGAUUAGAUACCCCGGUAGUCCCUGUCUCUUAUAC
rnacentral:rRNA from 1 species